CUCUCUCUCUCUCUCCCCCCCCUUCUCUCUCUCUCUCUCUCUCUCUCUCUCUCUCUCUCUGUUACAUGACCAUUUACAUCAAUAUUUCCGCGAGGAGUACGGACGAUGAGAGAGGUUCGUGGUGGCUGGUUGAGCAAACUGGGAGUGGUGGGUUUUUGUUUUGUUUUUCGUUGAUUUUUGUUGAUUUUUGGAUGGGGUGAUGUUUUUUCCUUAUUUAUGCUACCCGUUGAACUUGAAGCCAAGCAGCAGGUGAGAAGCCUGUCGUAUUGUACGGCUCGGAUAUUACUGCAUACAUAUUCUUCUCUCUGUCCUCGUGUGUGUGUCCACUGCGCGCUCCAGCGUCUUGUGAUUUUUACGCCUGCCCCAUUUUCUGUUGUGCCGAGACAAUUUUGGUUUUUGCCUCGUCGUUUUUGUUUCCUCACUUAUUUGUGUCCUCUCGGUUAAUUGAUCAAUUUUUUUAAUGUCGUGAAAGGAGCUGUUGCUUGACACAGAGUGUCGAGUUUCUGUCCCGACUGAUGUCUGGACAGAUCGUGUCCUUGACUUUGGUGUCGUGUGUUUUUCGUAGGUGCGGCAGCCUUGGUUGUAGACACUUACACCCCCCCCCCUCUCUCUCUCUCCUUAUCUCUCUCUCUCUCUCUCCCGCCUUGUUGGUGGGUCGAGUCUUGUUUUUAUAGUUGAAAAAAAACAAGUGUGUUGACCUUUAACCUGAGACCAAGUGAAGAAGCUUGAUGGAACAUGCGAGAGUUUUGUGAAUGUGUGUGUGUGUGUGGAUCGAGUGUUUUGCCGGGUUCUGUGGCUGUAACAUUUUGACUUUGAUCCUAAUGCUCAUCGUGUCGUCGUUUUGUCCCCUCUUUGUUCCACGUCGCGGACCAGUGCGUGUGUUGCUCCGUGCGGUGAGGUGAUCGUGCCGUUCACAGAUUAGUGGCGUUUGUCAGUAGGGUAAUAGUGGUGGCAUGAUUUGUCCAGGCUUUGUCUUGUGUGGGUGCAGGGCUUGGGUCCGUGGUACUCGACAGUUGGGUGGUUAUGUGGCCAGGGACUAGGACAGAAGGGAAAGGUGUUUGGGAAAGGAAAGAGGAAUUGAGAGUCACGGAAUUGAUGAUAAUAAUAAGGCCAAGAACGAUGCUUCGUUAAAGUAAAGAUAAUUAAUUUGAUUUUUUAAAUCUGGUAGACCUAUGAGAUUUACUGUUUGUUUCUGAUAAUGGCCACUGAUUUGUCUUUGAGAAACAGAAAGGGUUUUUUUCUUAAUGUAGUUCAUCUUAUUAUAGUUGUUCUUAUUGUAGUUCAUCUUCCUGUUGCAAGUUGCGGCAUUGAGUCGUGUUUAUGUUAGAGAGACGACAAAGAUAAGGAGAGAGAGUGAACUGUGGGUGGAAAGAAAUCGUGUGAAGGAAGACGCAAGUCUUGGACGUACCAGUGUCGUUGUGUGUGUGUCGUUGUGAAAAGUUGCUGUAGUUGUGUGUAGCUGUGGCUGAAACCUUCAGCUUCCGGCGAGUGGGUUUGUACGUGUUAAUGCAUUCACUAUUGGCUCUCAUUUUUAUUUUUUUUUAAUGUCAUGAAAUUUGUACAGGAUGGUUGGAUGAUAGUAACAUUUUGUUGUGAUGGUUGGAUGAUAGUAACAUUUUGUUGUCUGUUGUCACUUUUGAAAAAUGUUAUUUCUUGUUUUGAGCUCCCGGGGGAACAUUCAGGUUGCUUACUGAGGAGGGGAAUUUUGCCGGGGAAAGAAAUGAGGGGAAAUUAUUGAUGUGCAUGCUACGUGUGUACUCCGAGGAAAGCUGACACGGUCAGAGCGGGGGAAGAACAGAAUCUUGCUUUUGUUUGUCCUCUCAGAAUGAUCUAGAAAUGUGUUGGGAGUGUUUGUGUUAAGAACUAUCGAGAAAUGUGAUGGGAGUGUUUGUAUUAAGAACUAUCGAGAAAUGUGAUGGGAGUGUUUGUAUUAAGAACUAUCGAGAAAUGUGAUGGGAGUGUUUGUUUUAAGAACUGUCAAGAAAUGUGAUGGGAGUGUUUGUAUUAAGAACUGUCAAGAAAUGUGAUGGGAGUGUUUGUAUUAAGAACUAUCGAGAAAUGUGAUGGGAGUGUUUGUAUUAAGAACUGUCAAGAAAUGUGAUGGGAGUGUUUGUAUUAAGAACUAUCGAGAAAUGUGAUGGGCGUGUUUGCGUUAAGGAACUAUCGAAACAGGUGGGUUAUUGUAGCUCUUGAUUUUUUGUAAUCUUUUUAUUUUUGCGUUGCAGAAGCAUACUCUCUUUACUUCACAAAUAACCUUUGGGGUCAGAGUAGAGAGUGCCAGUGUGCUAAAAAACAAAAAGUAGCGUAUGUCUCCACCGGAGUUGAGGUGUGGGUACACUACUGUUACAGGGGAGAGAGGGGGGGGGGGGGCAUGCUCCUAUGUUCUGCACAUGCUUUAACUUGCCGUGAUUUGGUCUGGACGGAAUGUGCAAGCGUGUAGACAUGAGCUGUGCUGGACUCUAUACACACACCUUUUUUUUUUUCUUUUUUUUUGGUGAGCUUUUACGUUUCUGUAUCAUAAUACAAGAUAUAUAUAUAUCUAUGUGCUUAUAAUUUAAGGAAAUGUCUUGCAAUAAUAUGAGAAAGUGAAUGCGUUGUUUGUUGAGGGGGCUCUUGUUGUGUGCGAGGGGAGCACGUACAAUUUUCUGUUUCUGUGAGCCUGGGUUUUGGGGGUCAUUUGUUUCAGUAUGGUUCUUUUUUAAGGGUUUUUUGGUGUUUUUGUUGGGGGUUUUUUGGUUUGUUUUGUCCGUGGCGAAAACUAAAAAAGAAAAACUGACACAAGUUCAUUCCAUGUUUGCGAUGGUAAACGUUGUUUUUGUCAGUGAGAUGGUGGGGAGGGUGAGGGAGGGAGGGGGGGAGGGAGGGAGGGGUUUGUUGGUGUGAUUGAAUGUGUUAUUUUUGUGAAUUACUUCAUGUGCAGAUUGAUUGCAUGUAGAUGUCUGUACUUGUACAAAGUACCUUUUUUUUUAUUUGGACUCAAAAAGUGCAAUGUGAAAAUUGUGCUUCUCAUAUAAUACUUUUUGUCUUUGCCUUUCAUGAUGGUGAUCGGAAUAGCAAAAUUAUCCUAUAGAUCAUGUUACCUCUUGUACUAAAUGAACGUAUUGUUUAUUUUGUAUAGAAAUGUAUCGAGUUUCGAGUAUCCUUUUUUUUUUUUCUUUUUUUUUUUUCUCUCAAACUUCUGAGUAAAUUAUUAUUGGCCAGGUGAAAUGGAAAACAUGUAGUCAGUUUCUGUGUGUGACAUUAUUUUCCCUUGUUUUCGAACAAAAGAAGUCUUUCUUGAAGGUGGGCGAAUAUAUCGUUGGUGUAAUAGCUGUACUUUUGCCUGAAAAUUUCCAUCAAAUAAAUUUUUUUUUUUCUCUUAUAAUUGGUUUGUCAAAAGAUGACUUUGACCACUGUUGAUUUAGAUAUUUUCAAUCGUCUAUAUAUAAAUAUCUUGUUGAACUUUUUGUCAAAUGGUCUUAGUGCGUGUCUUGAAACUAGAAAUGUUUUUGUAUUGUAAGUGGGUUUGGUUUGUUUUUUUGCUCAUUGAGCUUAUUCAAGUUCUUGUAGAUAUAGGUAGACUGACACUGAUCAUGUACAUUCUUUUUAUACUAGGAGAAAAGGUAUAGGUAGACUGACACUGAUCAUGUACAUUCUUUUUAUACUAGGAGAAAAGGUAUAGGUAGACUGACACUGAUCAUGUACAUUCUUUUUAUGACAGGAAAAAAAGUAAAGGUAGACUGACACUGGUAUUGUUAAUUCUUUUUGUACCAGGAGAAAAAGUAUAAGCCUACCCAAAAGAUGGUGGAAUUGUUUUGGGUUGGUUUUUUCGUUUUUUAAAUCUAGAUUUAUCUUUAAUCUUUUUGAGAAAAAUUUGUUAAUGUUACGGACUGGUGGCUGUUUAUUUGACUUUGGGUUAAUUUGUCUUGCUAGUUGUUGUACUCAGAAAGUAGUGGAGUUGAUGAAGAAGAUGAGAAAAGGGGAUCCGUUUUUUGUAGUAGGGCUGUGUCCACUUUGGCAGAGGGUUGGGUUGUUGUUGUUUUUUUUGGGGGGGGGGGGUUCAGGAAGACAUCAACCGAACACAUGUCAUACUUUGUCCUACCAUUAAAGCAAACGACAAAUCAAAUUUGUGAUGGUGGACUUUU